GUAAUUAUAAUCACCGCACAUACCACUCCAUAAAGGAAAUGCAAGUAACUAAAACGUCCAAGACAUUACUGAGUAACUAAAUAAGCCACUACCAAGCAGCAGUACCGCACAUUUAUUUGAGCUUUCUUUCUUUUCAGUAUUUUCAAUAUCUCCCGUGAAUAAUGCUGUACAUAAUCGAUAUCUCCCGUUAAAAGGCUCCCUAGAGACCCCAAUCUGGGCGAGGAAGGCAUUGAAAGGAGACCCACAGGUGGGUUGCUCCUGGCUGAUCUCUGGUCUUUGCGAACAAGGCAUCUCAGUGAAGGUGACAAAUUUGCUGGCAGAGACGUCUUUUACCUUGGGGAUUAUUCGAGAACCAGAGCCUUAUCUAGGGCAGUGAAAGUUCUUGGAAACCUCGUCAUCAAAAAAAAAAAAAAAAAAAAAAGAA